GGCGGCGUGCUUACACAUGCAAGUCGAACGAGAAUUCUUUAAGCUUGCUUAGAGAUAGUAAAGUGGCGCCCGGGUGAGUAACAUGUAGGUAAUCUACCCCUGAAUCUGGAAUAACAUUAUGAAAGUGAUGCUAAUACCGGAUAAAAUCAUAAGAGAUACGUUUUUAAUGAUCAAAGGUAGCCUCUGUAUUAAGCUAUUGUUUGGGGAUGAGCCUGCAUACCAUUAGCUAGUUGGUAUGUUAAAAGCCUACCAAGGCGAUGAUGGUUAGCUGGUCUGAGAGGAUGAUCAGCCACACUGGAACUGACACACGGUCCAGACUCCUACGGGAGGCAGCAGUGAGGAAUUUUGCGCAAUGGGGGAAACCCUGACGCAGCAACGCCGCGUGAGUGAUGAAGGUUUUCGGAUCGUAAAACUCUGUCAAGUGGAAAGAAGUUGUAUAAAUUUAAUAGAUUUAUUCAUUGACGGUACCACUGAAGGAAGCACCGGCUAACUCCGUGCCAGCAGCCGCGGUAAUACGGGGGGUGCAAGCGUUAGUCGGAAUUAUUGGGCGUAAAGGGCGCGUAGGCUGUAAUAUAAGUCAGUUGUGAAAGCCCAUGGCUUAACCAUGGAAGAGCGAUUGAAACUAUAUUACUUGAGUAUGGGAGAGGAAAGUGGAAUUCCUGGUGUAGAGGUGAAAUUCGUAGAUAUCAGGAGGAACAUCAGUGGCGAAGGCGGCUUUCUGGACCAAUACUGACGCUGAGGCGCGAAGGCGUGGGGAGCAAACAGGAUUAGAUACCCUGGUAGUCCACGCAGUAAACGUUGAACACUAGGUGUAGCGGGUAUUGACCCCCUGCUGUGCCGAAGCUAACGCAUUAAGUGUUCCGCCUGGGGAAGUACGAUCGCAAGAUUAAGCUCAAAGGAAUUGACGGGGGCCCGCACAAGCGGUGGAGCAUGUGGUUUAAUCGACGCACGCGAAAAACCUUACCUGGAUUGACAUCCUGGGAA
rnacentral:rRNA from 1 species